CCUACGGGGGGCAGCAGUGGGGAAUAUUGCACAAUGGGCGAAAGCCUGAUGCAGCAACGCCGCGUGAGCGAUGAAGGCCUUCGGGUCGUAAAGCUCUGUCCUCAAGGAAGAUAAUGACGGUACUUGAGGAGGAAGCCCCGGCUAACUACGUGCCAGCAGCCGCGGUAAUACGUAGGGGGCUAGCGUUAUCCGGAAUUACUGGGCGUAAAGGGUGCGUAGGUGGUUUCUUAAGUCAGAGGUGAAAGGCUACGGCUCAACCGUAGUAAGCCUUUGAAACUGGGAAACUUGAGUGCAGGAGAGGAGAGUGGAAUUCCUAGUGUAGCGGUGAAAUGCGUAGAUAUUAGGAGGAACACCAGUUGCGAAGGCGGCUCUCUGGACUGUAACUGACACUGAGGCACGAAAGCGUGGGGAGCAAACAGGAUUAGAUACCCCCGUAGUC
rnacentral:rRNA from 1 species